rnacentral:rRNA from 1 species
UGGGGAAUAUUGCACAAUGGGCGCAAGCCUGAUGCAGCGACGCCGCGUGGGGGAUGACGGCCUUCGGGUUGUAAACCUCUUUCACCAUCGACGAAGGUCCGGGGUUCUCGGAUUGACGGUAGGUGGAGAAGAAGCACCGGCCAACUACGUGCCAGCAGCCGCGGUAAUACGUAGGGUGCGAGCGUUGUCCGGAAUUACUGGGCGUAAAGAGCUCGUAGGUGGUUUGUCGCGUUGUUCGUGAAAACUCACGGCUUAACUGUGAGCGUGCGGGCGAUACGGGCAGACUAGAGUACUGCAGGGGAGACUGGAAUUCCUGGUGUAGCGGUGGAAUGCGCAGAUAUCAGGAGGAACACCGGUGGCGAAGGCGGGUCUCUGGGCAGUAACUGACGCUGAGGAGCGAAAGCGUGGGGAGCGAACAGG